AACGGCCGCGGGAUCCUACACCGUGCAAAGGUAGCAUAAUCACUUGUCAUCUAAAUAAUGACUAGUAUGAAUGGCCAAAUGAGGACUUUCCUGUCUCUUGUAGUCAAUCUAUGAAACUGAUCUUCCAGUCCAAAAGCUGGAAUAAAAUCACAAGACGAAAAGACCCUGUGGAACUUACUUUUAGUUGGGGCAACUUUGGAACAAAACAAAACUUCCAAUGACCCAGUAUUACUGAUAAAAGAAACAAGCUACCCCAGGGAUAACAGCGCCAUCCCCUCUUAGAGUCCCAAUCGACGAGCGGGGCUUACGACCUCGAUGUUGGAUCAGGGCCCCCAAACAGUGCAGCAGCUGUUAACGGUUUGUUUGUUCAACAA
rnacentral:rRNA from 1 species